GAUGAACGCUGGCGGCGUGCCUAAUACAUGCAAGUCGAGCGAACAGACGAGGAGCUUGCUCCUCUGACGUUAGCGGCGGACGGGUGAGUAACACGUGGAUAACCUACCUAUAAGACUGGGAUAACUUCGGGAAACCGGAGCUAAUACCGGAUAAUAUAUUGAACCGCAUGGUUCAAUAGUGAAAGACGGUUUUGCUGUCACUUAUAGAUGUAUCCGCGCCGCAUUAGCUAGUUGGUAAGGUAACGGCUUACCAAGGCAACGAUGCGUAGCCGACCUGAGAGGGGGAUCGGCCACACGGGAACUGAGACACGGUCCAGACUCCUACGGGAGGCAGCAGUAGGGAAUCUUCCGCAAUGGGCGAAAGCUUGACGGAGCAACGCCGCGUGAGUGAUGAAGGUCUUCGGAUCGUAAAACUCUGUUAUUAGGGAAGAACAAAUGUGUAAGUAACUAUGCACGUCUUGACGGUACCUAAUCAGAAAGCCACGGCUAACUACGUG
rnacentral:rRNA from 1 species